UACGUAGGGUGCGAGCGUUGUCCGGAAUUAUUGGGCGUAAAGGGCUCGUAGGCGGUCUGUCACGUCGGGAGUGAAAACUCAGGGCUUAACCCUGAGCCUGCUUCCGAUACGGGCAGACUAGAGGUAUGCAGGGGAGAACGGAAUUCCUGGUGUAGCGGUGAAAUGCGCAGAUAUCAGGAGGAACACCGGUGGCGAAGGCGGGUCUCUGGGCAGUAACUGACGCUGAGGAGCGAAAGCGUGGGGAGCGAACGGG
rnacentral:rRNA from 1 species